GGAGAGGGUGGGAAGAAAAUUGGAGGUAGGGUGAGGGAAGGGGAGGGUUGAAGGGGAAAAUAAUGAAACAGAGGAAAAAAGAGAAUAACAAGUAAAAAGCAAUGCAUGUAAAUACAGAGCAAGCAAGUAGGAAGCUAGGCCAUAGCACAGCAAAAGAGAGCAAAGCAAAAGAAGGCAAAGAAUGACAAAAAGCAACCUUGCAGGAAUGGAGGAUCUGUCCAGAGCUGUGCCCCUGCUUGCCACAGGAGCUGCGCGGGAGGAGAAGAACGUGGGCCAAAAGGAAUGGAGGAAUCUGUCCAGAGCUGUGCCCCUGCUUGCCACAGGAGCUGGCGGGAG
rnacentral:lncRNA from 7 species